GUGUUGCCAUGUGUACCACCUCCUGAGCCAAAGUAUCAGCUCCGCAGAACAAGCUCAGCCUCUUUCUGAAUAAGUGUUGAUUGUGCUCGAAGGGUGUGGUUGUAUAGAUGCAGUGUGUUUGUCAAGUCAUUCUUGUUUUCAUUAGGUAGCCUUAGUUGUGAGAGUCUCUUUAGUAGCUGGGGUAACUAACUCAACCUUGUAUGGGUUGCCGCGGGAACUUACUUCCAUAGCUAGGUUUGGUGUUGCUUAAAAGUUACCCUUAGGCCAUCUGACUGCCCACACAAGUCUUCUUCAUGUAUUAUGUACAUUUUAUAGUUCAACUUGGAAUCUAUUCAACAAACUAACUUAGUAUUUUUUG
rnacentral:lncRNA from 1 species